rnacentral:lncRNA from 1 species
GCAGAUAGAAUAUACACAAUUUUCAAAUUCAAUACACCGACACUAUUAAAAUAAAAAAUAAUCUCUUAAAAGACGUUAUACCUGGCCCAAAUACCGUGUACAAGAACAAGAAGAUGAUCAGGUACAUUAUUCUCAUCCCGUUGCGCUAUGGCACUCAUUGCUUGAACUCUGAGUCUCUGAUGACUCCCGCUUCUGCUAGAUCCUGUUUGCACAGAAAUCAAACACUAAUCUACAUUUUGAUCGACUAUCAGGAUCAGCCAUUCUCAUACACCAAAUCCCUACGAUUCUACGACAGAAGAACGGAAGCAAUUACCAAAUCAAGAGCACGAGGAAGACGGAAGGAAACACCCG